GUUACCUUUGUCAGCUGGAAAAGGAAAGGAUUAGAUAUGUGGGUCAUAAAGCGACCUUUAGUACGGUCCCAAGGUGUUUGCUUGUUUGAAGAAAGGCGAAUUGGGGCACCAGAGAAGUAGCCAGUUAACUACAACUCCCGGCAUUCCUCAGCGGGUUGGGUGACGCACUUCCGGCGUCUGGCCCGUGGUGUGGUGGAGGCUCUUGGCAGUCUCAAGGAUCCAGGCAAAAGGGUCGUUAACCUUCUGACGCCGCUGGGUCCCGGUCAGCGUUCCAAGGUCGCUUUCCUGUGGCCUUAGCCUUGGGAAUGAGGCUGUUGAGUUAACUUUAGCUCCUUGUGGCCGUCCAGGCGGCACUGUCUGCCACGGGGGUUACGGGACCGCGCUUUCGUAAUUUCCUAAGUUUCUGAGGAGAUGAGAGGGUCGAGAUUGUCCCUGUAAGCAGAAUGAAGACCAAAAGACAUUCAGAAAGGAGAACAGACAAAAGAGAAGUGAUCGUGAACAAGUGCUAGAAAUACAAGACAGAAACAAGAUUUGGGAAAAGUUUGGGACAGAUGGAAUCUAUGAUUCGAUAAAUGCAUUUAGAGGAAGCCUGAGAAAUGACGGUACAAUUUGAAAGUGGAAAGCAGGAAUCAAGGAAGAAAGAACAAUAGACUGGCAGGAUACCAGUUCUACUUCUGGUUCUAGCAACCCAGUGUGUGACUCUGGAUGUCAAAUGAUCCAAAAGUCUCUGGAGUCCUCUGUGUGACCUUCGAGGACCCAUCAACCUGAAAACAGAACAGGAUGCAGGUGUUUCAACUGUGGAUGCCAUAGUGAUGAAGGAUGAGACAGGAAGUAGUGACAUAAUUUCUCCGGAUUCACACUGCAAGUUUACAGCAGAGGCUAGGACUGGGUAAGAACUCAGACCAGCUCUUUUCCCAGCUCUGUUCUAGGGCACAAAUGGUAGAAGAUGGACCAUCCCUCCAGGGUGAAAUGUUUAUCAUGGGUUAACAAUUCAGUUACAUAGAACAGGGCUGGGCAACCCUGUUCUGGGCAACCCUGUGGAACCCUGUUCCACCCAACCCCAGGGUCAAAUCUGGCCCACUGUCUGCUUUCUUGCGGCCUGACCUGGGAGCUAAAAAUGGUUAUUUGCAUUUUAUAAGAUUUUUUUAAAAUCAGGAGAAGCAGAAUAAUAUUUCACAACACAUGAAAAGUAUAUGAAAUUCUACUUUUGUGUCCAUAAUACAGUUGUGUUGGAACACAGCCACGCCCGUUUGUUUACAUAUCAUCCUUGGCUGCUUUCACGCUACAAUAGAAGAGUUGAGUGGAUACAACAGAAACUUGAAAAGC